rnacentral:rRNA from 1 species
GAUGAACGCUAGCGGCAGGCUUAAUACAUGCAAGUCAAGGGGGUAGCAAUACAACCGGCGCACGGGUGAGUAACGCGUACACAACAUACCAUAUACUGGAGUAUAGCUUCGGGAAACUGAAGGUAAUCCUCCAUAACAUUGCGAGAAGGCAUCUAAUUGCAAUUAAAGUUUCGACGGUAUAUGAUUGGUGUGCGUUUGAUUAGCUAGUUGGUAGGGUAACGGCCUACCAAGGCGACGAUCAAUAGCUGGCGUGAGAGCGCGACCAGCCACACUGGAACUGAGACACGGUCCAGACUCCUACGGGAGGCAGCAGUAGGGAAUAUUGGUACAAUAGGCGGAAAGACCUCGAUCCACGCCACUGCCGCCGUGAUAGAUGAAGGACCCGUCCUGGG